GGUUCAUUCAAAUUUCUGCCCUAUCAACUUUCGAUGGUAGGAUAGUGGCCUACCAUGGUUUCAACGGGUAACGGGGAAUUAGGGUUCGAUUCCGGAGAGGGAGCCUGAGAAACGGCUACCACAUCCAAGGAAGGCAGCAGGCGCGCAAAUUACCCAAUCCCGACCGGGGAGGUAGUGACAAUAAAUACUGAUACAGGGUUCUUUCGGAUCUUGUAAUUGGAAUGAGUACAAUUUAAAUCCCUUAACGAGGAACAAUUGGAGGGCAAGUCUGGUGCCAGCAGCCGCGGUAAUUCCAGCUCCAAUAGCGUAUAUUAAAGUUGUUGCAGUUAAAAAGCUCGUAGUUG
rnacentral:rRNA from 1 species